rnacentral:rRNA from 1 species
AUUGAACGCUGGCGGCAUGCCUUACACAUGCAAGUCGAACGGCAGCACGGGAGCAAUCCUGGUGGCGAGUGGCGAACGGGUGAGUAAUAUAUCGGAACGUGCCCAGUCGUGGGGGAUAACGCAGCGAAAGCUGUGCUAAUACCGCAUACGAUCUAAGGAUGAAAGCGGGGGAUCGCAAGACCUCGCGCGAUUGGAGCGGCCGAUAUAAGAUUAGCUAGUUGGUGGGGUAAAGGCCCACCAAGGCGACGAUCUGUAGCUGGUCUGAGAGGACGACCAGCCACACUGGAACUGAGACACGGUCCAGACUCCUACGGGAGGCAGCAGUGGGGAAUUUUGGACAAUGGGCGCAAGCCUGAUCCAGCAAUGCCGCGUGCAGGAUGAAGGCCUUCGGGUUGUAAACUGCUUUUGUACGGAACGAAACGGCCCUUUCUAAUACAGGGGGCUAAUGACGGUACCGUAAGAAUAAGCACCGGCUAACUACGUGCCAGCCGCCGCUGUAAAAC